rnacentral:tRNA from 1 species
ACUUCUUUAGUAUAUUAGUACAUUUAUUUUCCACAUAAAAAGAUUUUUAAUUUUAAAAAGAAGGA